UCUGCCAUCACUCUUGGAUGGACCUGCGGUGCAUUAGCUAGUUGGUAAGGUAACGGCUUACCAAGGCAAUGAUGCAUAGCCGAGUUGAGAGACUGAUCGGCCACAUUGGGACUGAGACACGGCCCAAACUCCUACGGGAGGCAGCAGUAGGGAAUCUUCCACAAUGGACGAAAGUCUGAUGGAGCAACGCCGCGUGAGUGAAGAAGGGUUUCGGCUCGUAAAGCUCUGUUGGUAGUGAAGAAAGAUAGAGGUAGUAACUGGCCUUUAUUUGACGGUAAUUACUUAGAAAGUCACGGCUAACUACGUGCCAGCAGCCGCGGUAAUACGUAGGUGGCAAGCGUUGUCCGGAUUUAUUGGGCGUAAAGCGAGUGCAGGCGGUUCAAUAAGUCUGAUGUGAAAGCCUUCGGCUCAACCGGAGAAUUGCAUCAGAAACUGUUGAACUUGAGUGCAGAAGAGGAGAGUGGAACUCCAUGUGUAGCGGUGGAAUGCGUAGAUAUAUGGAAGAACACCAGUGGCGAAGGCGGCUCUCUGGUCUGCAACUGACGCUGAGGCUCGAAAGCAUGGGUAGCGAACAGGAUUAGAUACCCUGGUAGUCCAUGCCGUAAACGAUGAGUGCUAAGUGUUGGGAGGUUUCCGCCUCUCAGUGCUGCAGCUAACGCAU
rnacentral:rRNA from 1 species